rnacentral:tRNA from 1 species
GCCUGGGUGGCUCAGUUGGUUGAGCGUUUGACUUCGGCUCAGGUCAUGGUCUCAUGGUUUGUGGGUUUAAGACCUGCAUCAGGCU